AAGACUAUACUUUCAGGGAUCAUUUCUAUAGUUCGUUACUAUAAAAGACACCAUGGCAUUGACUGUGCAAAAUAGCACUAAUAUUCAGAUUCAGUUGGU
ensembl:snoRNA LOC120096854 small nucleolar RNA U3